UAUUUGAAGUCAUCAUCAAGAUCCUGUCCAGAGGCUUCGGUCUGGGACGGUUCACCUUCAUCAGAGAUCCGUGGAACUGGCUCGACAUCUUCAUCAUCAUCAUGGCAAUUGUGACAGAGUUUAUUGACUUGGGGUCUGUCAGUGUAUUUCGAGUCCUGAAGAUCAUCCCACUCAUCCCUGGUUUGAGGGCAA